AGCGAACGCUGGUGGCAGGCCUAACACAUGCAAGUCGAACGGCUCUUCGGAGCAGUGGCGGACGGGUGAGUAACGCGUGGGAACGUGCCCUUUGGUUCGGAACAACACAGGGAAACUUGUGCUAAUACCGGAUGUGCCCUUCGGGGGAAAGAUUUAUCGCCAUUGGAGCGGCCCGCGUUGGAUUAGGUAGUUGGUGGGGUAAUGGCCCACCAAGCCGACGAUCCAUAGCUGGUCUGAGAGGAUGAUCAGCCACACUGGGACUGAGACACGGCCCAGACUCCUACGGGAGGCAGCAGUGGGGAAUCUUGCGCAAUGGGCGAAAGCCUGACGCAGCCAUGCCGCGUGAAUGAUGAAGGUCUUAGGAUUGUAAAAUUCUUUCACCGGGGAAGAUAAUGACGGUACCCGGAGAAGAAGCCCCGGCUAACUUCGUGCCAGCAGCCGCGGUAAUACGAAGGGGGCUAGCGUUGCUCGGAAUUACUGGGCGUAAAGGGCGCGUAGGCGGACAGUUAAGUCAGAGGUGAAAGCCCAGGGCUCAACCUUGGAAUUGCCUUUGAUACUGGCUGUCUUGAGUUCGGGAGAGGUGAGUGGAAUGCCGAGUGUAGAGGUGAAAUUCGUAGAUAUUCGGCGGAACACCAGUGGCGAAGGCGACUCACUGGCCCGAUACUGACGCUGAGGCGCGAAGCGUGGGGAGCAAACAGG
rnacentral:rRNA from 1 species